rnacentral:misc_RNA from 1 species
AAAGAUCUCAUUGUAUUAUUGAAUGUAUCUAUUGACAUAAAUAAAACUAACUAUAAAUCAGGAUGCAAGGAUGUGAUUCUGCACAUCCACGAGUUAACUAACCGUUCACCUGUGACGGAAUUUUGGGCGAACAGAAAUUACACCUGGCCUUGCUUCAUCAAAGUGAUAUCUGUUUUCACUAAGGAAACUUCUCACUGCUGUUGGGAGUGCAGCUUGACCUCGACUGUGAUUGCCUACAC